GGUCCUUUAGUGUAGGGGUAGCACAACAACUUUUCAUGCUGUCAGUACCAGUUCGAUUCUGGUAAGGACUA